rnacentral:lncRNA from 1 species
GCCAGGCCAUGUGCUAGGUCGUGCCAAACCUAUAGGGUAUACUGACUUAUGCCACACGGCCAAGUCACACGCCCGUGUGUGAGGCCAUGUGGAGCAUACUGACUUGAUCUCAAAUUCAACACCAGGGGACACACGACCGUGUAAUGUGAUCGUGUGUCACACACGGCUGAGACACAUGCCCGUGUCUUUACCUGUGUGGACAAAAAUAGGCUAUUUACGAAGUCAUCUUCCUACUCGUUAUGCACAUAUCUAUACAAGUUCAAUUAGUUCCAUUUCAAGACACAAAUAAGUAGCCAAAUAUUAUCAACCAAUGUUCAAAUCAUACCAUUUCAU